AAGACUAUAGACCUGCGGAGUACCUGCGGAGGGAUCAUUAUCGAGUGUGACCCUCCUGUAAAAAAGGGGGUACCUCCCGUCCUUUUGCUAGGCCCUCCCCCUCCAAAAAUUUUUUUGACAGGGGGAAGCUUUUUCAAACCUUCUGCUUCGGUGGGUUUUAAACCCCGCCGGAACAACCUCAAAAAUUCUUUAUAAUUGUUCUGUCCGAGAAAAAUUUUAUUAAAAUGAAAAAACUUUUAG
rnacentral:misc_RNA from 1 species